ACUCAAAUGAAUAGACGGGGACCCGCACAAGCGGUGGAGUAUGUGGUUUAAUUCGACGCUACGCGCAGAACCUUACCAGCUCUUGACAUGGAACGUGUGAGAAUCAGAGAUGAUUUUCUUCAUUUAGUUGGCGUUCACACAGGUGCUGCAUGGCUGUCGUCAGCUCGUGUCGUGAGAUGUUGGGUUAAGUCCCGCAACGAGCGCAACCCUCGUCGUUAGUUGCCAUCAGGUUAUGCUGAGCACUUUAACGAGACUGCCGGUGGUAAGCCGGAUGAAGGUGGGGAUGAUGUCAGGUCCUCAUGGCCCUUAUGGGCUGGGCUACACACGUACUACAAUGGCUGUGACAAAGGGACGCAAUGGAGCAAUCCGGAGCUAAUCCUCAAAAGCAGCCUCAGUUCAGAUUGUCCUCUGCAAUUCGAGGGCAUGAAGUCGGAAUCGCUAGUAAUCGUGGAUCAGCAUGCCACGGUGAAUACGUUCUCGGGUCUUGCACACACCGCCCGU
rnacentral:rRNA from 1 species